UACGAAGGGGGCUAGCGUUGCUCGGAAUCACUGGGCGUAAAGGGUGCGUAGGCGGGUUUUUAAGUCUGGGGUGAAAUCCUGGAGCUCAACUCCAGAACUGCCUUUGAUACUGAAGAUCUUGAGUCCGGGAGAGGUGAGUGGAACUGCGAGUGUAGAGGUGAAAUUCGUAGAUAUUCGCAAGAACACCAGUGGCGAAGGCGGCUCACUGGCCCGGUACUGACGCUGAGGUGCGAAAGCGUGGGGAGCAAACAGG
rnacentral:rRNA from 1 species